rnacentral:tRNA from 1 species
GGAGAUGGCUCAGUGGGUAAGAGUGCUUGCUCUGAAAGCAUGAGGACCUGAGUUCAAAUUCUCAGCACCUGCA